rnacentral:tRNA from 1 species
AGCGAGCGGCUACAACGGGUACACGUCUCAUAAUCGUGAGGUCGCGGGUUCGAAUCCCGCCUCAGCUACCA